rnacentral:rRNA from 2 species
AGAGUUUGACCUCCUCCUGGCUCAGGAUGAACGCUGGCGGCGUGCCUAAUACAUGCAAGUCGAACGCACUUUCGUUAAUUGAUUUUGAGAUGCUUGCAUCGAAGAUGAUUUUAACUAUAAAGUGAGUGGCGAACGGGUGAGUAACACGUGGGUAACCUGCCCAGAAGUGGGGGAUAACACCUGGAAACAGAUGCUAAUACCGCAUAACAAAAUUAACCGCAUGGUUGAUUUUUAAAAGAUGGCUUCGGCUAUCACUUCUGGAUGGACCCGCGGCGUAUUAGCUAGUUGGUGAGAUAAAGGCUCACCAAGGCAGUGAUACGUAGCCGACCUGAGAGGGUAAUCGGCCACAUUGGGACUGAGACACGGCCCAGACUCCUACGGGAGGCAGCAGUAGGGAAUCUUCCACAAUGGACGCAAGUCUGAUGGAGCAACGCCGCGUGAGUGAUGAAGGCUUUCGGGUCGUAAAACUCUGUUGUUGGAGAAGAACGUGUGUGAGAGUAACUGCUCAUGC